rnacentral:ncRNA from 1 species
AACGGCUCUGUUUCUGCGUGUUAAUAGCUUUUCUCAUUGGCCUGGGAGAGCGGUUAGUGAAUC